rnacentral:misc_RNA from 1 species
GAUGAAGAACGUAGCGAAAUGCGAUAAGUAAUGCGAAUUGCAGAAUUCAGUGAGUCAUCGAAUCUUUGAACGCUCAUUGCGCCCUGUGGUAUUCCGCAGGGCAUGCCUGUUCGAGCGUCAUUUCAACCCUCAAGCCUCGCUUGGUGUUGGGCCCUGCCCGCCGCGGCCGGCCCUAAAGAUAGUGGCGGCGCCGCCUGGCCCUCAGCGUAGUACAGCUCUCGCUCCAGGGUCCGGCGGCAGCCUGCCAGAACCCCCCAACUCUGUGGUUGACCUCGGAUCAGGUAGGGAUACCCGCUGAACUUAAGCAUAUCAAUAAGCGGAGGA